rnacentral:rRNA from 1 species
AGUCGAACGGUGAAGGAGAGCUUGCUCUUUGGAUCAGUGGCGAACGGGUGAGUAACACGUGAGCAAUCUGCCCCUGACUCUGGGAUAACAGUUGGAAACAGCUGCUAAUACCGGAUACGAGACGUGACCGCAUGGUCGACGUUUGGAAAGAAUUUCGGUCAGGGAUGAGCUCGCGGCCUAUCAGCUUGUUGGUGAGGUAAUGGCUCACCAAGGCGUCGACGGGUAGCCGGCCUGAGAGGGUGACCGGCCACACUGGGACUGAGACACGGCCCAGACUCCUACGGGAGGCAGCAGUGGGGAAUAUUGCACAAUGGGCGAAAGCCUGAUGCAGCAACGCCGCGUGAGGGACGACGGCCUUCGGGUUGUAAACCUCUUUUAGCAGGGAAGAAGCGAAAGUGACGGUACCUGCAGAAAAAGCGCCGGCUAACUACGUGCCAGCAGCCGCGGUAAUACGUAGGGCGCAAGCGUUAUCCGGAAUUAUUGGGCGUAAAGAGCUCGUAGGCGGUUUGUCGCGUCUGCUGUGAAAACUGGAGGCUCAACCUCCAGCCUGCAGUGGGUACGGGCAGACUAGAGUGCGGUAGGGGAGAUUGGAAUUCCUGGUGUAGCGGUGGAAUGCGCAGAUAUCAGGAGGAACACCGAUGGCGANAGGCAGAUCUCUGGGCCGUAACUGACGCUGAGGAGCGAAAGGGUGGGGGAGCAAACAGGCUUAGAUACCCUGGUAGUCCACCCCGUAAACGUUGGGAACUAGUUGUGGGGUCCAUUCCACGGAUUCCGUGACGCAGCUAACGCAUUAAGUUCCCCGCCUGGGGAGUACGGCCGCAAGGCUAAAACUCAAAGGAAUUGACGGGGACCCGCACAAGCGGCGGAGCAUGCGGAUUAAUUCGAUGCAACGCGAAGAACCUUACCAAGGCUUGACAUAUACGAGAACGGGCUAGAAAUAGUCAACUCUUUGGACACUCGUAAACAGGUGGUGCAUGGUUGUCGUCAGCUCGUGUCGUGAGAUGUUGGGUUAAGUCCCGCAACGAGCGCAACCCUCGUUCUAUGUUGCCAGCACGUAAUGGUGGGAACUCAUGGGAUACUGCCGGGGUCAACUCGGAGGAAGGUGGGGAUGACGUCAAAUCAUCAUGCCCCUUAUGUCUUGGGCUUCACGCAUGCUACAAUGGCCGGUACAAAGGGCUGCAAUACCGUAAGGUGGAGCGAAUCCCAAAAAGCCGGUCCCAGUUCGGAUUGAGGUCUGCAACUCGACCUCAUGAAGUCGGAGUCGCUAGUAAUCGCAGAUCAGCAACGCUGCGGUGAAUACGUUCCCGGGUCUUGUACACACCGCCCGUCAAGUCAUGAAAGUCGGUAACACCUGAAGCCGGUGGCCCAACCCU